AGGGGUAUAGUUCAAUGGUAGAGUGUAUACUUAGCAUGCCUGAGGUCCUGGGUUCAAUCCUCAGUACCUCCA
rnacentral:tRNA from 1 species